rnacentral:lncRNA from 1 species
AGAAAUUACCUCCAUUGUUACGAUUAACUAACUGCAAACAAGGACUUCGGUUAUACAUGCAGUCACCUUUGCUUUGUCAAGAUGGAGGUACUACAUCAUCACUUAGGGAGCCAAAGGGAACACUAGAGUUUUCAUCAGAAGAUAUGGCAAUGGUCUGGAGGAUUCUUGCUAUGUCUUCUGCAGCAUUAGGAAAGGCUCCACCCCCUGCUGACAGUGAAAUGGGAGAUCUUCCUCUUCAUAAUGCAAUUUCAUAGCUGUCUCAGAUUUAAUGAUUGUACUUCAGAAAAAAAGUUGGGUACUUGAGUAGUGCCACAUAGGAUUUACAGUAAUCCAAUUAUCAGUUGCCAUAUGUACACACUGGGCACCGCUCCAAUUUCAUUGGACAUCUUUUUUGUCUCCUCGCAGCUCCCAUUGCUCUUUCUCUCUCUCAUCUCUCACUUUCUUUUCUUCUUCUUCCUUCUCCAAAUCCCUAACUCUAAUCCCAACUUCAAAUCUCUUUUCCUUCUACUUUUCUUUUUGCUCAUAUCUGAUUCAUGGGCAGUGCAAUCUUACCCUUGAUACCCUCACUGCCGUGUGAUCCUUUGGCAUUGGACAGCUUGCACUGCUCACUCGGGUUUUUUUUUUUUU